AGAGAUGGAAGAGAAAAUGUUGCUAAUAGGCUCAGGGUCUGCUCCAGAGUGUUAGGGGCGGACGGGCAAUCAGCUUUGACAGGGGAGGCAUUUUUUUCACCUCAUACAGCCUUUAUUACGUGUAUAUUCAACAUUAUCAUGUUUCAUGAAAGAAAUUAACUGACAGAGGUGUUUACAUACUGUCACUUAUGCGCACAGGCUCGCUACGGACACAUACACAUGCUGGUAUGUCCACAAGAAGAGAUUAUAAACUAACAUCGUGUCCUAACUGGACGUGAGCGUCCGAAUAUCGCGCUGGCAUCGCGCCAUCUGACGCUCUCUGUCCACAGUGAAUCCGUUAAAUCUGCACUUCUGUUUACGUCAUGUAAACAUAACCACGUACAUGUCAGCUAUGAGCUCCAGAUCAGACUGCAGCUGGAGACUAACCACUUAAAAGAUGGGUUAGUAGUACUUGUUAUCUUCCUACGUUUGUAGCCUACUUUUAAUCAGAAAACACACGUUUUAUAUUGUGAUAUUUACUGGAAAUAACAUACGAUAUAGCCAAGAGCAAGUAGGGUGUUAUCUAGCGAUCUUCUCCAGCCAGCUGCCACCUUAUUAUGGUUUCUGUAGUGAAAUGUGGAGGUACUGUAGGCUAGAGAUAACUCCUCAGGCCUUAUUAUGGUUUCUGUAGUGAAAUGUGGAGGUACUGUACUGUAGGCUACAGGUAACUCCUCAGGCCUGCCGUGCGU